UGCAGGCUGUAGCAUUAAGUCUCUUUGUCCUGAUGAAGUCUUUUUUAUGUCAAUGACAAUAUAUGACUUAGAAUUUGUUUCAGCGACAAGGGGACAACUGUGUUUUGCUUGUAUUUAUUUUUCAGUCUUGAACUCUUUGGCCAUUCCAAAGACAGACAAAAUGGGCUGGAGCAUAUGCAAGGAUUCUUAUUUCAAACUUAGCGUUAUCUAUCAGUGCAUUAUUUUUAACUAGCGAUCACUGCUCAAGAAAACCAACAUAUUCCUUAAGCGUAACAUGAGUUUUUGUUGAAAUUGGUCUGUGAUUUCAGAGUGAGCUUAGCAGCCUUAGCCUGAAUCGUAUCCUGCCGCACUGCUGCCGCUUGGAGACCUUCCACUGCAAAUAUUGACCCAGCUAACGCUGCUCAGCUUGUGAGAGGAGAUGAAAGUAUUUGGCCUUAGGCCCAUGAGGUGUUGCAAAUGGCUGUGAUGUUAAUCAGAUCCCCCACCUACCUGCGCUGAACAAAGUUUGCACUUCUUUUCCGGUUGCUACCCACGCAAGCUUUAGCACAAAGAUCUGGCUGGCACGCAGCCUCCUAGUUUACGUUCCCACUACAUGCUUGCAGCACGGCAUCGGGCACGGUGGAAAUGUGGCCCCAGCCCAUCGCUGAUUGUUCAUUCAGUGCCAUGAGUCACAGGUCUGCAUUCCAUGCACUGAAUCAGGCACUGGAGAUGCGAAAGCUCUGCUGGUCACUCAGCACAGCAAUGGUGGGGGCUCGUUUUGGGAUGUAAGCCCUCUUUGUUCUGCCUGCAGGGAGAAAAGGAAGCAGUUACACUCUUUCUCUGCAGAUAUCGGUGACACAAGUCAGUAGCUAUAGGACUCAGCAGUCACAGGAAAGGAAGAGGUGACAAUUUCUGGGAAAGCGAAUGACCAACUCUACCCGGUAAUGCCUCUGAACGUUGCGCUUGUUCUGCUGCAGGAUCUGGUCAAGUACUGGAGUGAGACUGACAGGCCAGUAAUCACCACAGUCUUCUUGAAAACUGAAACAUUUGCCAGCCUCCAGCCAACUGGGACCUCUCCAACAACCUGGAAUUUAACUUUCAAGAGUCAAAUCUUUCAUCUUUCCCUGUGAAAUUUUUCAUUAUCCAUCUGUAGCCUCAGACUACACCAAGCUCUUCACUGGAACCAUGGGGAGCUACCAUGAAGGUAUAUUCUAAAAUACCUCCAAAAACAGCAGAUGACAAGAGAAAAUGUACUUUGAUCCCAGAGGCAGAACAACUUGGCACAGAAAUGAGUAUCAUUUGUAGAAAGAGCUGAUAAUACUUUAUUUUUCUUCCAAACUAACCAUCUUCUCUCCAGAAAAAUGAUACUUGCUUGAAAUAAUCUGUUUUAACGAAAAUGGGAAAACUGUGAAAUGGGUCAAUAUUGAAAUAGACAUAUGAUUUAGUCUUUCUUGUCUUCCUUAGAUUCUUCUAUUUCUUUUGCUCUGAAGCCUUCUCUUUAUUCUCCAUAAAUAAAUGGUGUGAAUGAUUACAUAUCGAAAUAUUUUGAUCUUCAUUUUUUUUACAUUUCAAUUUUCCUAUUUUCAUCUCUGUCACUAGCUUCUCAAUCACUGGAUUUUUUUCCUUCUUUUCCUUCUUUUUUUUUUUACCUCAAAAUUACUUUAACGUGUAACACUGUUCCCCACCUUCCAGAGCCUUCCUCCUGCACUGGGCCCUUAUCCAUGGCCUUAGUGACAUCCUGAACUUUUAAAGCUUGUUCUUCCUAGGUUUAACAGUGCAUGAGGAAAGACCAUAGGCUACAGAUUGUGCCUAAAUAGCAGAGAGGAUUCCUAGGACAUUCUCAAACUUUCCUGAUGCACAAUAUAUAUAUUUUUUCUUCCCUUUAUUUAGGGAAAAUGAGCUACUACAAGCCUUGAAAGAUGUUCCCAUCAAGCUACUAGCUAUUUGCCUUAACAUGCAGGAUAAUGGUACUUCCUGCUGGUGGGCAUCAAGGAGAGCUCAGUGCAAAACCUCACUGAUGGGCAAGCAAAUGAGUACACAAUCUAACCUUGGUUACGGUCAUCUCCCCUUCAUUUUUUAUCCUUGGCAUGUGCUACAGUUCUUGGAAAUGCUUGGCAAUUACCCUUUCCUUACUGUUAUUGCUAUUUCCAGUUUUACAGCUGCAUGAAACUUAGCUUAAGGAAACAUUUUAGUAGAGACUGUAUUGGACUACUAUAUGGUCUCUGAUCUUAGACAAUCAUGAUAUUACGAACAACAACAACAACAACAAAACAACUAAAAGCUUCCAUCGAAUGUCAUUCUGUCUCCAACACAGUUGAACAAAGUUUCAUUUUUAGCAUGUUAUAACCAGAGAUGGGAGAUGAUGUUGAAGAUGUGGGUUCAAGAAGAAGAGGUGAUUAGGAAAGCUUUAAAAAGCAAAAGGGAGAAAUGGCAGCAGUGAUGGAAUUGAAGUGACUGAAGCUGGGAGACAUGGACACAAAGACAAGGGACCAGCAGAUGAUUUUCUGCAAGAAGUGGACUCCAAGGUAAUGUGAACAGGAAGAUGGCUUGGUCUUAGAGCUUCACUGUGACCUAGGGCUAAGGAAGGAAGAGCUGUGCGGAGCUUGAGAGGCCCCAGGGGGAAGCCAGCAGUAACCCUACUGAACGAGGAUUGAGCUUUUCUAAUGAGGAAUGUCUUUGAUGAGAGUUUAACAGGAGAAAUGCGUGCUAGUGAAGCAAUGCAUCAGAUGCUGUGGCUCUUGAUUGGAGAGAUUAAUGAACAGCAAGGAAGACAGAAAUAAGAACCAGGUGGGGAGAGAAAUACAGAAGCUAUUUACUAGAAAUUUGUGACAGGGCAUGCAAGAACUUCUUUUCAUUGAAUAAAUUACUGUCACUGCAAAUACUGUGCAAGUGAGUCCAUUCUUUCUCGCUAACGUGGGUAUGGCUAAGUCGUGGCUGGCACUUCCGACUCCAAGUGGAGAUGAAGGGCUAUUGCUGACCAAAAGGUCUGCUUUUGUACUUGUCUAGUGGCGUCAUAUACAUGUGGGCUUAUUCUUUGCUUUCCUCAUUCUACUGACUUCUGUUUCAGCUGCUGCUGGGGGUUAUUGUUUGUAUUGUUGAUGUUUAUACAAGUUAUGCGAGGAAGGGCGAAGUCCAAGAUUGAUAGUAACUACUGCAAACAGUCCCUUCUGGGCAGGUGCUGUCUGGAAUUGAAGGACUCAGGCAGCUCUGCCCUAGAAGGAUGUAUGGAUUGAACCUCAGUCCUUGCGCUUCAGUUCCCCUAGGCUUGACCUUUAGAAAUGUUUAAUGAAUAUAGUUAUUGGUUGCUGAAUCAUAGAGCACCUCCCAUCUUGGCGAAACAUGAUUAUUGCUUGCAGAAGUUCACCCAGACUCUAUGGCAGUUUCAAAGGAAGGUCCUGGGGAAUCUCCAGCUGUGCAAGUUGCAUUUUGAUGCUAAGUGCACCUUAGAGCUCAGAGGAAAUGGCAUUGCAGCACUGUCAGGAGAUUGCAAGUCGGUAACGGAAAUGGCCACAUGAAAUUCAAGGUGCCCGUGUGUUCUCGAUGACCCAAGGAAAUAACCAUGCAGGAGGGUGAUAUGUUCCCCACAUAAUGCUGUAUGUAGCACAGUCAUGAUGAACAGAUCUUCAAGUUGGAGUACACUGCUAAAUCAGCCACUCAUUUGGACAUGCAAGCUCUGGAUCAUGCAGAAGAGUCACAGGGAGAAGGGGCAAUUGGAAGAGGGGAAGAGUGUCAUUUAGCAGAAGUCCUGUGCCCCUCUGGUGCCACUGAGCUUUGCUCCCAGGAAGCACCAGUAGGCCUUGCUGGUCAAAACAUGAUGGAUUUGGAGAAGUCUGCCAGCAUCACCUUUGAACCAAAAGUGUUUCAAGUGCCUCCGGAGCCAAGCCUAAGAUAUUCUGAAUACAGAGUAUUCUAUGAUGCAUAUAGCAUUUCCUUGAGGUAUGUGGAUCAGGGCAAGGGGAAGAGGAGUGGAAGAGGAAUUGCUGAAUUGCUGAAACAGCCUGUUUUCUCACCUCCAGCAAUUCCUCCACUCUUAUUUCCUAACAUCUAAACUGGGAGAGGAUAAUUUCACACGGGUAGCAUCUGUAUUGAUUUGUGUAAAAACACCUUUCUGGGUCUUUAAGCUGUUGUUCAGCAGUGCCUGACAGCAGCCUGUGUCCAAGAGGGGCUCCUUGGAACGUCAGUGAUGGGAGGAGGAUGGAGGGGGAGGUGACUGCAUUGUCCAUCAUGUGUUGAUGUGAACAGGCUGUGAUGAGACCACAGGGCUGCAGGACUUAGUGGGAGAAUCUGAGGACAACACCUACAGGGGAAAUCAGUAGACAGGCAGGCUGACAACAAGGAGCUGCCUACAGAAUGGGAAGAAAAACAGCAAGAAUGGUAGACAGGAGAAAAGGACGUGUUUUAGAAGAUUUUCACAUUAGCACGUCAAGUCAAAAGAAAAUGAACUGCUGAACUCUCUCUUCUUCACCUGCCACUAACCUUUACAUGACAAAAUGACAACGCUGAGGCAAAUUGUUGUAGGCUGAGAAAACAGUUUCACUGAGCAGUAGCAGCGAUUUCAGCAAGCUGUGACAUUUGAAAGCACAGACAGACUAGCCUGUCCUUUAUUUACUAGCAGGGAGAUGCCCUCCUAUGCCUAACCAGAAAAAAUGGCCAAUAGUCAGAGUCAACAAGAAUAGUAGGAAUGCUUCAACAGUUUGGGAAACUGUCACUGUAGAUCUUGGAAGUAUGAAGAACUAUCGCAUUUUGGCGAUAGCAUGCAUAAAAAAGGCUGGGGACUGGAAAAAUGUCUGCUUAGGAGAAAUUCAUUUCCCUGGGCACUUAUCAGCCAGAGAAAGAAUAAUGUUUCUGUAUCUGUGAAACUCAGUAUGGACAGGACCUCGCUGUACAAAACCUCUUUGCUAAGAACAGCACUGUUUUAAGGCACCAGUUAGGUGGAAAAUCCUUUUACUGCCCUAUUUUUAGCACUGGAGAUUGCAAAGAUGAUGUGAGUGUUCUGAUGGACGGUUCUUUUGGCCCAAGGGGAUGAAUAGAUAGUCGGCCCACAUUAUAAGGGUUUUUGGUUAUUUCUGUUGCCACCAAGAGGAACACAACACGUUGGUUGCCCAGAGAACCCAUGGGUGCCCCAUCCCUGGAGGUGCUAGAAGGCCAGGCUGGAUGGGGCCCUGGGCAGCCUGAGGUGGUGGGGGGCACCCCUGCCCACAGCAGGGCAUUGGAACUGGGUGGGCUUUAAUGUCCCCUCCAACCUAAACCAUUCUGUGAUUCUAUGAUUGCCUGCUAAAGAACAAGGCACAGAACAGCAAGAACCAAAGGGGAUUAUUGCCAUCAUACCAGCUGUGAGGGUUCAAGAAAGGACACUAUACCUCAAGCCCAGGGCAAACCUGCUGCCCUCAGGACAUACGUAUUUUGUGGAGGUAAGCACGCUGUGUAGAGACAAUGGAUAAGUUAGUCUGGGCACUGGAAGCAUGCAUCCCUGUACAAAUGUGCUCAUUUAGAUUUUCUUCUGUGUCUCUACUCUGUACUGCAAUCUCAGUUAUUUAAACCACUGUGAAGUACUGAAUCUUUUAAAUCUCAUCGUUUCAUAGCCUCAGACAUCUGGCAAACUCCAUCUGCGCUAUGGAACUGUGCUAUUUCAAGGUCAUGCAUUUCAGUAAAUGAUUCCUAGUGUGUUUCGUUCCUCUGUAGAUGUGGAGUUCUUAGCAUCAACCAGAAUGCAACCAACCAAGGGACUGACAUACUGUGACAAUAAAUUCCAGAAAAAUCGUAUCAGAAAAUUAAUCCAGGAAUGGGUCAUGAAAGGGUAAAAGAAAAUAGCAACUGGGCUGCAAGCGAGCAGCCUUAAGAAAAGCGAAUUUAUAGGAAAAGGCUGAGUUGGCAGUUUUCAUAAGAAAUGCUAUAAGCACGCAGCACCUUAGUGCAAAAAUAAGGAGAGGAAUUUUAGAAAGAGCAGAGAGCCUCAAUCAUUAGCUCUUCUUUGAUCUCCGCACAAGAAGGAAACAUGCAGAAAAUGAAAUGUAGGUCAUCAUACUAAGAAUUUAUACAGAAAUGAUAGCAUAAGCAUUUUUUGUGUAAAUUACACUGUGAGCUGGAAAGAAAAAAUGCAAGAGAGGGUAUCUCUGAAGGUAUAUUGGUAAAAAGAGGGAGCUCAGGCUCAGAUGUUGUGCAACACCAAGAAGAGAGGAAAAGCAAUUGUCAGCACGGGGAGGGGGGGAAUAAAUUUUGUUGCUAUUUUCGCUUCAUUCUUUUCUAAUACACUUAACUGCAAUGAAGUAAUGAACAGAUUGUCUACCUCUGGAGCAAUACAUGAGUUCAUAUUGAAUUACAUUUUCUCCUCCUAGAACUUUUCUUUGAUUUUUUUGUGGCUAUGCAGAAUUUUUGUUUUGCCCUCAGCAUGCAGCCUCUGAAAACAGAGAUGUACUUUCUUGCUUCAGCAUCCAAGUUAUUACUGCAAAAUGCAAUAAUACUAGAUCACAUCAGGUCUUCUGGAUAGUUGUUCGGUAAUACCCUUGGCUUUAUCACUGAACCACUGAAAAUCACUGUGUCUGAUGUUCCCACCUGCUCUCCAUCCCCUGUAUGCUGCCAGCUAAUGGCCAGCCCGUUUAUCAGAACAUCGGGUAAGACAGUAUAAAAAGCUUUGCUAAAAUCAA